rnacentral:snoRNA from 1 species
GACUGGAAGCAUAUGGCACGCCUGUCCCACUAGGUCUCUCACAGUGUCCCAUGCCAGAGCAAACUGUGACCCUAAAACAUUGUUAGACCUUUGCCAGUUGACUUUGAACAUUGAGGUGGGUGUACAGUG